UGAUGGGGAAGCCCUUCGGGGCGAAGUAGCUGAUUUCACACUGUCAAGAAAAGCUUCUAUCGAGUUUAAAGGCGCCCGUACCGUAAACCGACACAGGUGGGUGAGGAGAGUAUCCUAAGGCCAGCGAGAGAACUAUUGUUAAGGAACUCGGCAAAAUGACCCCGUAACUUAGGGAGAAGGGGUGCCUGUCUAUGACAGGCCGCAGAGAAUAGGCCCAAGCGACUGUUUACCAAAAACACAGGUUUCUGCUAAGUCGCAAGACGAUGUAUAGGAGCUGACGCCUGCCCGGUGCUGGAAGGUUAAGGGGAUCUGUUAGAGCAAUCGAAGCAGUGAACUUAAGCCCCAGUAAACGGCGGCCGUAACUAUAACGGUCCUAAGGUAGCGAAAUUCCUUGUCGGGUAAGUUCCGACCCGCACGAAAGGCGUAACGAUUUGGGCACUGUCUCAACAAUAGACUCGGUGAAAUUGUAAUCCCGGUGAAGAUGCCGGGUACCUGCGACAGGACGGAAAGACCCCAUGGAGCUUUACUGUAGCUUGACGUUGGGUCUUGGUACUACAUGUACAGGAUAGGUGGGAGACUAUGAAGCAUGGACGCCAGUCUGUGUGGAGUCAUCCUUGGGAUACCACCCUUGUAGUACUGGGAUCCUAACCAUAGGCCUUGAAUCAGGUCUUGGAACACCGUCAGGUGGGCAGUUUGACUGGGGCGGUCGCCUCCUAAAAAGUAACGGAGGCGCUCAAAGGUUUCCUCAGCACGGUCGGAAAUCGUGCGAAGAGUGUAAAGGCAAAAGGAAGCUUGAUUGCAAGACAUACAGGUCGAGCAAGGACGAAAGUCGGACUUAGUGAUCCGGUGGUACCGCAUGGAAGGGCCAUCGCUCAACGGAUAAAAGCUACCCUGGGGAUAACAGGCUUAUCUCCCCCAAGAGUCCACAUCGACGGGGAGGUUUGGCACCUCGAUGUCGGCUCAUCACAUCCUGGGGCUGUAGUAGGUCCCAAGGGUUGGGCUGUUCGCCCAUUAAAGUGGUACGCGAGCUGGGUUCAGAACGUCGUGAGACAGUUCGGUCCCUAUCCGUCGCAGGCGUAGGAAAUUUGAGAAGACCUGUCCUUAGUACGAGAGGACCGGGAUGGACGUACCUCUGGUGUACCAGUUGUUCUGCCAAGGGCAUGGCUGGGUAGCUAUGUACGGAAUGGAUAAGCGCUGAAAGCA
rnacentral:rRNA from 1 species